rnacentral:lncRNA from 1 species
AUGGAGGUUCCCAAGCUAGGGGGGUCGAAUUGGAGCUACAGGUGCAGGUCUAUGCCACAGCCACAGCAACUGGGGAUCCUUAACCCACUGAGUGAGGCUAGGGAUCAAGCCUGAAUCCUCAUGGAUACUAGUCAGGUUCUUAACCUGCUGAGCCACAACAGGAACUCCACUUUUGUCUGUUUCUGAACUUGGUAUACGUAGAACUAUUCAGCCAUCUGAGUGUGAGGAUUUCAGUUCUGUGUCACUGUGUGUUGCAAGUGAUUGUUUGAUUUCAUUGCUAAGUACACCACAAUAUAUUCAUCCAUUCCACCGCUAGUGGAAAUGUGGGUUGUUUCCAGCCUUUGGCUGCUAUCACUGGAUAGGUCUGAGCAGUUUUGUCCAUGACCUCAGUGCACAUGAGUAUGUGUUUCUGGAGUGCCCUGGUGGCUUAGCAGGAUCUAGUGUUUCACUGCUGUGGAUUGGGUUGGUGCUGUUGAGGGGGUUCAAUCCCUGGCCCGGGAACUUCCACAUGCUGCAGGUGUGGCUGGAAAAAAAAGAGAGUAUGUGUUUCAGUUGAGUGUGUGCAGAGGGGUCCAGAAAUGCUGGGCCAUAGGAUACACAAUGCUCAGCGCUUAACCCUGCCAAACAGCCUUCCAAAGUGACAGUACAAUUCGCACCCCUACUAGCCUGUGGAUGGCAGUUGCAGGUGAUCUACGUGCUCUCCUGCACUCAGUACUGUUAGCCUGUUCAUUUCAGCCACUCUGGUGGGUGUGUAGUGGUGUCUCCUGGGGGUUUCAGUUUAUACUGUGCAGCUCAUAUUCACUGGCCACUCGUAUAAUCCCUUUUGUGAAGUGCCUGUCCAAAUCUUUGGCUUAUUUCUUCUAUUGGGUCAUUAAUGUUUUAUGGAAUAUUUUUUCAUGUAUUCUGGAUACAAGUCUCUUAUCAGGUUUAUGAUUUGUAAAUACCUUCUCCCACUCUUUUAGCUUGCUUUUCCACUUUCUUAAUGGUAUCUCUUUUAAGUUGCUUGGUUAAGACCAAUCUUAACCUUGGUCUUUAGUGCUUUUUGUACUGUAUUUGAGAAAAUUUGUUCACGUGAAAGAUCAUGAAAGUAUGCUUUUAUGCUACCUUUAGAAGUUUUCUUGUUUUAACUUUCUGCAUUUAGGUCUACAAUCAGCCUGAUUUAAUUUUUGUGGCUGGUAUGUGUGUGUGGGGGGGUCAAAAUUCAUUUUUUAAAAUAUGAACAUAU